UACGUAGGGCGCAAGCGUUGUCCGGAAUUAUUGGGCGUAAAGAGCUCGUAGGCGGUUUGUCGCGUCUGCUGUGAAAACCUAAGGCUCAACCUUGGGCUUGCAGUGGGUACGGGCAGACUAGAGUGCGGUAGGGGUGACUGGAAUUCCUGGUGUAGCGGUGGAAUGCGCAGAUAUCAGGAGGAACACCGAUGGCGAAGGCAGCACUCUGGGACGGUACUGACGCUGAGACGCGAAAGCGUGGGGAGCGAACAGG
rnacentral:rRNA from 1 species